rnacentral:lncRNA from 1 species
UGAGAAGCCAACUCUGCGUUAUGUUGUUGCUGGUUAGUAGCUUACUUCCAGCAAACAGAACAGGAUCAUAGGCACAAAAAAAAAAGCAAGAGCAAAAACUAAACCACAAUUUAGAUGAGGAAAAA